GACGAACGCUGGCGGCGUGCUUAACACAUGCAAGUCGAACGGGCCCGCUCUCUUUUUUGGGGGUGGGUUGAGUGGCGAACGGGUGAGUAUCACGUGAGUAACCUGCCCCCUGCUCCUGGAUAACUGCUUGAAAGGGCGGCUAAUACGGGGUGUGCCGGCUGGUCCGCAUGGGCCUGGUCGGGAUAGUUUCAUCUUCGGGUGUUUCGGUGGGGGAUGGGCUCGCGGCCUAUCAGCUUGUUGGUGGGGUGAUGGCCCACCAAGGCGGUGACGGGUAGCCGGCCUGAGAGGGUGGGCGGCCACACUGGGACUGAGACACGGCCCAGACUACUGCGGGAGGCAGCAGUGGGGGGUAUUGCACAAUGGGCGGAAGCCUGAUGCAGCGACGGCGCGUGAGGGAUGGAGGCCUUCGGGUUGUGAACCUCUUUCUCCGGUGGUGAAGGCCCUGUCCGUUGCGGCGGGGUUGACGGUAGCCGGGUAUGAAGCGCCGGCUAACUACGUG
rnacentral:rRNA from 1 species